rnacentral:rRNA from 1 species
CCUACGGGGGCAGCAGUGAGGAAUAUUGGUCAAUGGACGGAAGUCUGAACCAGCCAUGCCGCGUGCAGGAAGACGGCUCUAUGAGUUGUAAACUGCUUUUGUACAAGGGUAAACCUGAAUACGUGUAUUCAGCUGAAAGUACUUUACGAAUAAGGAUCGGCUAACUCCGUGCCAACACCCGCGGUAAUAGGGAAGAUCCAAACGUUAUCCGGAUUUAUUGGGUUUAAAGGUGGCGUAGGCGGAUUUAUAAGUUAGAGGUGAAAUGUCUGAGUUUAACUGGGGAAUUGCCUCUAAUACUGUUGAUCUAGAGAGUAGAUGCGGUAGGCGGAAUGUAUGGUGUAGCGGUGAAAUGCUUAGAGAUCAUACAGAACACCGAUUGCGAAGGCAGCUUACCAAUCUAUAUCUGACGUUGAGGCACGAAAGCGUGGGGAGCAAACAGGAUUAGAUACCCUAGUAGUC